rnacentral:tRNA from 1 species
AGGGAGUUAGCUCAAAUGGUAGAGCGAUUGACUUUUAAUCAAUUUGUUGCAGGUUCGAUUCCUGCACUCCCAA